rnacentral:tRNA from 1 species
GCCCCGGUAGUGUAGAGGACCAUCAUGUGAGGUUGUCGACCUCACGACUCGGGUUCGAAUCCCGACCGGGGCG